GUAAUUAUUGUAAUUUCAAAGUAUGGGUUUCCAUAUGUCUCUUUAUAAGACAGUUUUACCAAAUAUGAGUUUCUUGUUAUAUCAUUGCCGCACAUGAAUAUCAAACUUUCCAAUUUACAUGUGUCCCAUAUGUGUUAGAUGUGUGUCCCAUACUCUUAGGCUUAAAUAACAUUGUCAUGUUUAGUCGGCGAGAGUACUUUGCGAUAAUCGAAGAGUUAAUGUAACACAGAACUGAGCCAUCUUGCUAUUGCAGCCUCCUGACUAUUCUAAAAUGCUAAAAGGUGCUUCAAUCAUCUUUUCUGUCAAUCUUUCAAUCUUUCUUUUUUUAUACAAUGAUAUGCCAAGAAUAUCAUUCGCAGCCUCAUGGAUUUUCUUGCUUGCAGAUGUUGCAGAUGAACUUCCGUGUAAGAUUUAGCAUCUAUCAGGGAUGUGCCUAGGAGUCUAGGACAAUACCGUCUGUCUUCCUUUCGGAAAGCUUUUUUAUAAAUUCCAACUUCUUCAAAUUGGCUAUUUGCACCUGAAAGGUAGCUCUAUCUUUUAUUCAAUGCUUAUUUCAUGAGUGUGCAUGUGAUAGAAGCAAGUUAAGUGCAUGCAUUUAAAAAGAAGAAAUAACAUAAUUGGAAAUUCCCCGGACAAAAUGACUCUCACUCAAUCCGUGGCCAGGAAUGCAAAUUAAUUCUUUCAUGAUUGAACGUGAUAGAAGAAAAGUAAUACUAUGCCUUUAAAAAGAAGUAAGUGUGUAACUGACAAUUACCGGAGCAAAAAUGACUUUUACUUGCUAACCACCAAUGCAAAUCUCUUCUCCUCCUAAAAGUGGAGUACAACCAAGAUACCAAUGAUCUGCACCAUAUAUGUAUUCAUCAUGAUAGUAUACAUUGUUGAUUAUAAGGACAAAAGAAGGGAAACCACAAUUUCAACCCAGACUCAUAAUGUAACAGCUAUGCAUGCAUUGCCUUUAUCAAAAGUUUUUCCAAAGAGAAAAUUCAAGCAAAAGGCCUCAAGGGUCAGGGAGGUUAAGAAAAAUUAUAACCGUUUUGAAUGUGGGCUAAGGUAUUCUCAUGGACCAAAAGCGUAGUGUCAGGAUUGUUUUUCUGAACAACUGGAAGACCUACAUCAAACCAUCAAAGAGAAGAUCAUAUCCAAUUAGGCACCAGUUAGGUAAAACAGCUCUUUAAUUCAAAUAUUUCAGAAAAGAGCUUCCAAUAAAUAUAAGAAAAUAGAGAGCAAAUAACUUGUACUACGUUGAUAACAUUUCCAUGAGGGAGAAAACACAAAAAAGUAGCCUCUAAAUAAUAUUUACCAUCGUAGACAUAAAAAAAAUUACUUCAAACAUAUAUUCAAAUAGAUAGGUUUCUGUUAUAACUUAGAGGUGGCCACUGAAGCCCAAGGAGAAUUUAACCAAAAAUGACAUGAUGUGUGAGACUUUGUAGAUGCUUCAGUCUGCUAGAUGACAACACACACACACACACACUCUCCUCCCCAACCCACACGGAGAAGUCCUAAAUUUUAUAUUCAUUAUGAAGCACUUAACUACCAGCUUGUGUGACAAAGUGACACCAUAUGUCAGAUAAGAGAUGCACAAGCUAUGGAUCUUGAUCAUCAAUCUCUCUUUAGUAAUAGUGCACAAUGGAUAGCACUUGUGUUGAUCAUUUAUAUUGUUGGGUAAAUUAAAUUCAGUUUUCAAUCUUUCAUAUCGUAUAUUGUCUACUUAAUACUUAAUUAUGGUAAGAAUCCUUAAAAGCAUUCAAAUUGCUACUUGUGGCAUAGGUUUUCAUCAUUCCAAAAGAGAGAUCAGAGACAGACAUUAGGUCAUCCCGUGUCUGGAGAAGCCCUUGCUUGAGACAUAACUCUCAUCCCAUGAGUCCCAUGGUCAAAUUAUCUAAAACAAGUCUGGUCUUUCAGUUUUCACACUUCAAGCAACUAUUCCUGUCUAUUUGCAAAUUUCAAUAGGUACUUUGUAAAUGAAUAGCCUACCAUUGGGGUCAACAAAUAUAUGACAGUCAGAAACAUUAAACAAUCAAUGUUGUGAGGGUAAGUUUACAAUGAAGAAAUCGAAAGUAGACAGCCACGGUAAGCCCUUCCCCUUUUUGCCCUUCGAAACUAUGCACCAAGAUAUGCGAUUGCCUUCCGUAACU
rnacentral:lncRNA from 1 species